UUGCAUGGGGAAUUGUAUAAAUUGUGGAGCUGUGAAUAAAGACCUCAGUUGACUCCCAGCCUAUGUGUCGUCUAGUUCUUGGGAAGGAAAGGUUACUACAGUGCUACUUGGAUUAUUGCAUGCUGAUUUCCCUGGAUUAUCCUUUGUUGUUCCUGUUACCCAGCGGAGAUAUUGUGGAUUAUACUGCCUCUCCGCUACACCAUACCUUAUUCCUUCUGCUUUACCCUCCCUAGUUGGGGUUUUUUCUCCUCUCUGCUUUAGUCAUUUGUUU